UGAGAAUAUCUUACGCUCUACAUAGCAAACUAAACAACUAUUUAAAAAUCCAUCACCUAUGCUAUUACGAAGCUCAUUUUUUGUGUAGUUCAUGGAUGAGAAAGCACGUUCCACAGAAGCGGUAGCAACAGGUAGAAUGAGAGUCAACUUGAUAAGUAAAUACAGUAGUGGCCAAGUUUGAUGCAGGUCUGACUUAACCAACACUUUAGAAAGGUCACUAAUUCCCUUCAUGUUGAAGAACCUCUUGUCAUGACCACGAGCAUAAACUAUAAAACUAUCAAGCUGGAAACUAAGAUCUCCGAGCUUGUUACUAUCAAA
rnacentral:lncRNA from 1 species